ACAAGAGAUAGGAUUCCAUUUAACAAAUGGCUAGGGUAACCUAAGGGAAAGUGCAACAGAAAUAUACCGCCAUGUUUCACAUGGUAAGGGUGAAAAGGCAGGGUAAGAGCCUACCGAUUUCUUGGCAACAAGAAAUGCCAUGCAAACCCAAUCCGUAGCAAGAAUAGCAGGUUAAUAUCUCUGUCUUUAAGCUAUUCGCUUGAAUAAUAUUGCGAAAUAUUAUCUAGAUAAAUAAUUACUUAAU
rnacentral:misc_RNA from 1 species